rnacentral:rRNA from 1 species
CCUACGGGAGGCAGCAGUGGGGAAUAUUGGGCAAUGGGCGCAAGCCUGACCCAGCAACGCCGCGUGAAGGAAGAAGGCUUUCGGGUUGUAAACUUCUUUUGACAGGGAAGAGUAGAAGACGGUACCUGUCGAAUAAGCCACGGCUAACUACGUGCCAGCAGACGAGGUAAUACGUAGGUGGCAAGCGUUGACAGGAAUUAAUGGGUGUAAAGGGCGUGUAGCCGGGUUGACAAGCCAGAUGUGAAAUCCUGCGGCUUAACCGCAGAACUGCAUUUGAUACUGUAGAUCUUGAGUACUGGAGAGGCAGACGGAAUUCCUAGUGUAGCGGUGAAAUGCGUAGAUAUUAGGAGGAACACCAGUGGCGAAGGCGGCCUGCUGGACAGCAACUGACGGUGAGGCGCGAAAGCGUGGGGAGCAAACAGGAUUAGAUACCCGAGUAGUC